GACGAACGCUGGCGGCGUGCCUAAUACAUGCAAGUAGAACGCUGAAAAGAGGAGCUUGCUCUUCUGGGAUUAGUUGCGGACGGGUGAGUAACACGUAGGUAACCUGCCUUUUAGCGGGGGAUAACUACGGGAAACGAUAGCUAAUACCGCAUAACAAUGUGUAACACAUGUCAUUUAUUUGAAAGGGGCUAUUGCUCUACUACAAAAUGGACCUGCGUUGUAUUAGCUAGUAUGUUAGGGAAUGGCCUAACUAGGCGACGAUACAUAGCCGACCUUAGAGGGGGGACCGCCAAAAUGGGAAUGGGAAACGGGCCAGACUCCUACGGGAGGCAGCAGUAGGGGAUCCUCGGCAAUGGGGGCAACGCCGACCGGGGCACGGCGGGGGGGGUAAGGAAGUUCUUGGAUCGGAAAGCUCUGGUGAAAGGGAAGAAAGGGUGGGAUAGUUGACAAUGCACGUUUUGACGGUAGCUAACCAGAAAGCGACGGCUAACUACGUG
rnacentral:rRNA from 1 species